GGAAUUUUGGGCAAUGGGCGAAAGCCCGACCCAGCAACGUCGCGUGAAGGAUGAAGUCUCUAGGGAUGUAAACUUCGGACAUAUAGGAAGAAUAAAUGACGGUACUAUAUCUAAGGUCCGGCUAACUACGUGCCAGCAGCCGCGGUAAUAAGUAGGGACCAAGCGUUGUUCGGAUUUACUGGGAGUAAAGGGUGCGUAGGCGGCGUAUCAAGUCACUUGUGAAAUAUCCGGGCUUAACUCGGAACAGCCAAGUGAUACUGAUGUGCUAGAGUGCAGAAAGGGCAACUGGAAUUCUUGGUGUAGCGGUGAAAUGCGUAGAUAUCAAGAGGAACACCUGAGGCGAAGGCGAGUUGCUAGGCUGACACUGACGCUGAAGUACGAAAGCUAGGGGAGCGAAC
rnacentral:rRNA from 1 species